rnacentral:lncRNA from 1 species
UGUGGCGGACCACCUUGAAGAGUCUUGAGCAUGGCCCAAACAAAAUAUGAUUGUUUUUUCUUUCUUUUGGCUUAGUUUGGAUGAUACAAAUUUUGAGAGAUUAUGAGAAUGUGAUUUCAAAUCUUCAUGAUUUUUUCGUAUUUGCAAUUUGGGAUAGAUUGGAAAGAGAAUUGAUUUUUGUUUAACCAUUCAACCUGAAAUCAUAUUCCCAAAUAAAUUUGUACAAAUUUUAUCUGGUUCUUUUCCCAUAGUAAAUCUUAUAAUGCAGACUCAAUCCAUAAAAAAAUAAAAAAAA